UACCGGGUCGUCUAAUGGCAGGACACCAGAUUUUGGCUCUGGCAGUGGAAGUUCGAGUCUUCCCCCAGUAA
rnacentral:tRNA from 1 species